GCUGCCCCGCUCCCACCGCUCUCCUCCCCCCGCACCCAGCCAGGAGCCGGCGAGAGCCCGAGCGGCACCGGCGCAGGGCUGAGCCCCGGGGCGGAGCUGGCGGCGGGGGAGGGCAGAGCGAAGGAGAGAAGCGGCGCUGGCGGAGCAGAGAGCCGGGGCUGAGGGGGCAGCGAGGCUCGGCCGGCGCCAUGCGGCGGUGCCGGGGCGCGGGGCUGGCGGCGCUGGGCGCGGUGCUGCUCGCUGUGGCUGCCGACACAGACCGAGUGCAGCAGAAGCCGUGGGCAGAGACCACCGAGGGCACCGGCCUGAACCUCACUUGCCUGCACCCCGAAAUUACUGCCGACUCUACCCAGUGGUAUCGCCAAUUCCCAGACCAAGCACCGCAGCUGGUAGCAAUGGCUGUCCGAGGCACAAAAUCCGUGCUGGAGCCAGAGGGGACUCUGUGGGUGUCGGCAGAUCGGCGAUGGAGCGCGCUGUGGCUCGGGCGGCCCCGGCGCGGGGACGCGGCCGUGUAUUACUGCGCGCUGGGCCACGGGCAGAGGAGCCGGGGCUGCGGCCGGGCACGAACCGCCGCGGGCGGGGCCGGGCGGGGCCGGCAGGGGCCGCUCCGCUCCCGGCUGACGCCGCUGGGCGGGACCGGCACCGAGCCGAGCCUGGGACCCGCGGGACCCAGGCCGGGAGCCACCACGGGCCUGGCCUUCCACGAGAGACCCCUCCGAGCUCAAGGAUGCUGCCCUGCAAUGUGUAUAAAGUAA